rnacentral:rRNA from 1 species
GAUGAACGCUGGCGGCGUGCCUCAAACAUGCAAGUCGAGCGGGGCUAUGUAAUAUCGCAAGGUAGAACAUAGCCUAGCGGCGAACGGGUGAGUAACACGUGGGUAACCUGCCUGGAAGACAGGGAUAACGAUCCGAAAGGGUCGCUAAUACCUGAUAAUAUCCUUUCAUCGCAUGGUGAUAGGAAGAAAGGGGAAACCCGCUUUCAGAUGGGCCCGCGUCCCAUCAGCCAGUUGGUAAGGUAAAGGCUUACCAAGGCGACGACGGGUAGCCGGUCUGAGAGGAUGUACGGCCACACUGGGACUGAGAUACGGCCCAGACUCCUACGGGAGGCAGCAGUUGGGAAUCUUAGGCAAUGGACGAAAGUCUGACCUAGCGACGCCGCGUGAGGGAAGAAGGCCUUGGGUUGUAAACCUCUGUCAUGGGGAAGAAGGAAGUGACGGUACCCAAGAGGAAGCCCCUGCUAACUACGUGCCAGCCCGCCGCGGUAACACCACGCGUAUGU